AGAAUCAACGCUGGCGGCGUGCCUAACACAUGCAAGUCGAACGAGAAAGUGGAACAAUCCAUGAGUAAAGUGGCGCACGGGUGAGUAACACGUGACUAACCUACCUUUUAGUGGGGGAUAACCUAGGGAAACCUGGGCUAAUACCGCAUAAUACUUACGAGUCAAAGCAGCAAUGCGCUGAAAGAGGGGGUCGCGGUCGAUUAGUUAGUUGGCAGGGUAAUGGCCUACCAAGACUGUGAUCGAUAUCCGGCCUGAGAGGGCGCACGGACACACUGGAACUGAAACACGGUCCAGACUCCUACGGGAGGCAGCAGUGGGGAAUUUUGCGCAAUGGGGGAAACCCUGACGCAGCAACGCCGCGUGGAGGAUGAAGUCCCUUGGGACGUAAACUCCUUUCGAUCGGGACGAUAAUGACGGUACCGGAAGAAGAAGCCCCGGCUAACUUCGUGCCAGCAGCCGC
rnacentral:rRNA from 1 species